AUUAUAGGACUACAUGUCCAAAUAAUCAAGAUAGAACAAAUGAAGGCCGUAGAUGUAGAGCUUUAGAUGGACGAUCACGAAGAUCCCGGGCCAGUUGAUCCAGCAGUUCUAUCAGAUCAGGCUAGGCAUCGGUCGAGCUAUAUGUGAGGAGAGAGGUACGCGCCAGUUCAGUUUACGGAGCAUGGCCGUAAACUAAAUACAUGGACAGUCGAGCAUCUGGGAGUGAUAGAGCACUUACGACAUGCUGACUUUUUCUACGUCUCCCGCCUCAGAUGAGUACAGCUUGAUCAGGCUCUGUUAGGGGCGUUGAUAGAGCGAUGGGCGUUGAUAGAGCGAUGGAGACGCGAGACGCAG